AUUCUAAAAUUAUAAAAAUUACUACUUUAAAAAAAAAUCAUGGGACGGGUAAAAAAAUUACAGAACAUGUUUUUUUUUUGGAAUUGGGUUAUAUGGUGGAUGUAUUUGAAUCAAUAUUUAUAAAAUUUUAAAAUAUUAUUAAUAUGCUGUUUUAAUAGGGGUCAAAACUUCAGUUUUUUUAACAAUUGUCUCAUGAAUUCGUGGUAUAACGUUACUUAAUAACAAUUAUAAACUGUAAAAUAUAAAUAUUUUGUAAAAAUAAAAUUUGCAAGUUUUAGUAUAUAUUACUUUUAAAAAUAAAUCGUCAUGCGGUAUACCGCGGGUUAAAAUCUAGUUUUCUUUUAAGAGGAUACUAAUAUAACAAUUAUUGUAAGACAAUAACCACAAUGGUU
rnacentral:sRNA from 1 species